rnacentral:rRNA from 1 species
AGAGUUUGAUCCUGGCUCAGGUUGAACGCUGGCGGCAGGCCUAACACAUGCAAGUCGAACGGUAACAGGAAGCAGCUUGCUGCUUUGCUGACGAGUGGCGGACGGGUGAGUAAUGUCUGGGAAACUGCCCGAUGGAGGGGGAUAACUACUGGAAACGGUAGCUAAUACCGCAUAACGUCGCAAGACCAAAGAGGGGGACCUUAGGGCCUCUUGCCAUCGGAUGUGCCCAGAUGGGAUUAGCUAGUAGGUGGGGUAACGGCUCACCUAGGCGACGAUCCCUAGCUGGUCUGAGAGGAUGACCAGCCACACUGGAACUGAGACACGGUCCAGACUCCUACGGGAGGCAGCAGUGGGGAAUAUUGCACAAUGGGCGCAAGCCUGAUGCAGCCAUGCCGCGUGUAUGAAGAAGGCCUUCGGGUUGUAAAGUACUUUCAGCGGGGAGGAAGGGAGUAAAGUUAAUACCUUUGCUCAUUGACGUUACCCGCAGAAGAAGCACCGGCUAACUCCGUGCCAGCAGCCGCGGUAAUACGGAGGGUGCAAGCGUUAAUCGGAAUUACUGGGCGUAAAGCGCACGCAGGCGGUUUGUUAAGUCAGAUGUGAAAUCCCCGGGCUCAACCUGGGAACUGCAUCUGAUACUGGCAAGCUUGAGUCUCGUAGAGGGGGGUAGAAUUCCAGGUGUAGCGGUGAAAUGCGUAGAGAUCUGGAGGAAUACCGGUGGCGAAGGCGGCCCCCUGGACGAAGACUGACGCUCAGGUGCGAAAGCGUGGGGAGCAACAGGAUUAGAUACCCUGGUAGUCCAC